UACGGAGGGUGCAAGCGUUAAUCGGAAUUACUGGGCGUAAAGCGCACGCAGGUGGCUGAGUCAGUCGAUUGUGAAAGCCCUGGGCUUAACCUGGGAAUUGCAGUCGAUACUACUCAGCUAGAGUAUGGGAGAGGGUAGUGGAAUUCCCGGUGUAGCGGUGAAAUGCGUAGAUAUCGGGAGGAACAUCAGUGGCGAAAGCGGCUUCCUGGACCAGUACCGACGUUCAGGCACGAAAGCGUGGGGAGCAAACAGG
rnacentral:rRNA from 1 species